rnacentral:rRNA from 1 species
ACCCGCUGAAUUUAAGCAUAUCAAUAAGCGGAGGAAAAGAAACUAACAAGGAUUCCCCUAGUAACUGCGAGUGAAGCGGGAAAAGCUCAAAUUUAAAAUCUGGUGGUCUUUGGCCAUCCGAGUUGUAAUCUAGAGAAGUGUUAUCCGCGCUGGACCGUGUACAAGUCCCCUGGAAUGGGGCGUCAUAGAGGGUGAGAAUCCCGUCUUUGACACGGACUACCAGGGCUUUGUGAUGCACUCUCAAAGAGUCGAGUUGUUUGGGAAUGCAGCUCAAAAUGGGUGGUAAAUUCCAUCUAAAGCUAAAUAUUGGCGAGAGACCGAUAGCGAACAAGUACCGUGAGGGAAAGAUGAAAAGAACUUUGGAAAGAGAGUUAAACAGUACGUGAAAUUGUUGAAAGGGAAACGCUUGAAGUCAGUCGCGUCUGCCAGGGAUCAACCUUACUUUUGUGAGGCGUACUUCCUGGUUGAUGGGUCAGCAUCAGUUUUGGUUGCUGGAUAAAGGUCAGAGAAAUGUGGCACCUUCGGGUGUGUUAUAGUCUUUGAUCAGAUACAGUGGCUGGGACUGAGGAACUCAGCGCCGCAAGGCUGUCUUAGGAUGCUGGCAAAAUGGCUUUAAUCGACCCGUCUUGAAACACGGACCAAGGAG